UACGAAGGGGCUAGCGUUGCUCGGAAUCACUGGGCGUAAAGCGCACGUAGGCGGAUCUUUAAGUCAGGGGUGAAAUCCUGGAGCUCAACUCCAGAACUGCCUUUGAUACUGAGGAUCUCGAGUCCGGAAGAGGUGAGUGGAACUCCGAGUGUAGAGGUGAAAUUCGUAGAUAUUCGGAAGAACACCAGUGGCGAAGGCGGCUCACUGGUCCGGUACUGGACGCUGAGGCACGGAAAAGCGAUGGGGGAUCAAAACAGGGAGGU
rnacentral:rRNA from 1 species